rnacentral:rRNA from 1 species
AUUGAACGCUGGCGGCAUGCCUUACACAUGCAAGUCGAGCGGUAACAGGCAGUCGGGUGCUGACGUGUGCCGCACGGGGGAGUAAAGCAUCGGAACAUGUGCCGGGGUGGGGGGGAACGCGGCCGGAGCCGGGCGAUUAUAGCGCAUGCGCUCAGAGGGAGAGCGUGGGACCAAUCAGGACUUUUUGCUCUCACGCGACCGGAGCUGGCGAUGUCAGAUUAGUUAGUUGGGGGGGUAAAGGCCUACCAAGCCGACGAUCUGUAGCUGGUCUGAGAGGACGACCAGCCACACUGGGACUGAGACACGGCCCAGACUCCUACGGGAGGCAGCAGUGGGGAAUUUUGGACAAUGGGCGAAAGCCUGAUCCAGCAAUGCCGCGUGUGGGAAGAAGGCCUUCGGGUUGUAAACCGCUUUUGUUCGGGACGAAAAGGAGCUGGCUAAUACCUUGCGCUGAUGACGUUACCGUAAGAAUAAGCACCGGCUAACUACGUG